ensembl:lncRNA
UUGGGGGCGGGGACACACCUGGGCCACCUGCACCCAUGCAGCCUCUGAUGUCAUCACAGGGUGGGGCGGCGCAGGCCACGCCCCCUCCGAGGAGGAGGGUGUGCCAGCAGUGCAAACAGACAAAACCCCCUGUGGCUGCACCAGCGGUCGCAGCACUCCCAAACUGCUGAGGAAAAACAGCGUUCAGCGGCCGGUCGGUCUCGACGGACCCUCGGAGUCGUUGGAACCAGGAGUGUCGGCGGCUCACGGGUCGUCCAGCCUCCUGCACCGAGUCCUGGCCAAGUCCAGGAGGAAGAGCUGCCCUCAGCUGCCCCACCCAGCUCCAGACUCCGGCACUAUCAACACCGCCUUCCAGCCAGACUAGACCAGAACCUGCUGCUGUCCAGCCAGACUAGACCAGAACCUGCUGCUGUCCAGACGGUCUAGACCAGAACCUGCUGCUGUCCAGAUGGUCUAGACCAGAACUUGCUUCUGUCCAGACGGUCUAGACUCGGUUUCUCAAUGAUUCCUGAUUCUGCUCCUGAAACCCUGAAGACACUGAAGACAAACCGACCCUCAUGUUCUCUCUGAGGUCGUCCUGUUUGAGUCUCCAUCACUUCCAGGUCCAGUCCGAGUCACUUGAGAUCACCUUCAGGUGCUGAUGUCCUACAGGUCUGAGUCCAAGUGUCCUGAUCGGGUCUGAACAUCAUGUUCGAGUCACCAAAGACUUGUCCGAGUCACACAGGUGAAGACCUGUCGAGGUUCAGUUCUGUCCCUGAGAAAAAGUCCCAGUUAGUCUCAUGACUCCUGAAGGACACAAACCAGCUGGAGUCGUUGCAUUAAGUCUCUCAGGUGUCUGAAGUGUCUCCAUACCUGAAUCUGAGUCAGCAGGUCGAUGAGUUCCUGAGCUCAUAGAGAAGUCAGCAGGGAUGUGAAUGACAAAUGGAAAAAAACUCUGAAAAUUCAGGGAGGCCAACCCCAAGUUUUCAAGUCAGUCUGAGUCUCUCAGUAGCUGUCGAGUCACUUUCAGUAUUCAAGUCAUUUACAUCCAGUCCAGCCGAGUCUUUAAGGCCAAGUCCUCGUCUCUGACGUCCUGUUUCAGGUCAGUCUGUCCAGAGUCUGUAGUCCGUGACCUGAAGCAGGACGAUUCUGACUCAUUCAGAGGAAUCUAUCUUCAGCUGCUCAGAGACUAAAUUAACUUUGAAUCUGUAAAAAAUGAAUCUGAAUCUGUUUAAACUCAAAUUGAAACACGUUUAUUUCACAUCUGAGCAGAAUGAAAAGCAGAAUAAAUCAAACACAAUCCUUCAGUUUAUUUAUGAAAAACCACGUUUUUUUCUGGAGAUACACAAUUUCACAUCUAAAAUAAGUGGAAAAAUAAAAUAAAUGUAUCAGAAAAUCUACUGCAAAUAAAACAAUAAAUUACGGUCAGUGUCCAGUGAAAUCUGUUCUGUUUUCAGUUUAAAAAAUAAAAACAUCAAUUCUGAUCCAAAGAGCAGAGGUUAAAGUGUCUCAGUGUUAAAAACAGAACUGUUCAGUUUUUGAAACAGUAAACAAGAAAAAGCAAAUGAAACGGUCUGACUUUUAUACUAAUGUAGUUUAAAAAGUUGAUCCGCUCUGAUUUAAAGUGCAACAGUUAAUGUGUCUCUGUGGUAAAAACUAAUUUGUUUAAUACAGUCAGUACAUCAGCAGCCACAUGUCAAGAAAUAAAUAGUUAAAUAAAUGUUUAAAGGCAUCUAUAUAUAAAAAUAUAAAUAUAAAUUGCUUUUAAUAUUAAAAAGUGUUACAUUUUAAAAACUGUGUAAAGUUGUUUCUAUUUCUGCUAAAAUACAGUUGAAAUAAAACCAAAUAAAUAAAAUGUGUGCAGUUAUUAUGUGCAGCUAAAUCAGUAAAGAAAGCAUGACGCUGCAGAGAAAGAGCUGAGUCAUGAUUAGCAGGACGACUCAGCAGACUGAUUCGGCAGGAGUCAGCAUUUCCUCACAGGAGCUUCACCUGAAACCAAACAACCACAUCAGCUGAGGGUUCA